rnacentral:rRNA from 6 species
CCUGGCGGCCGUAGCGCGGUGGUCCCACCUGACCCCAUGCCGAACUCAGAAGUGAAACGCCGUAGCGCCGAUGGUAGUGUGGG